rnacentral:rRNA from 1 species
GGCGAACGGGUGGGUAACACGUGAAUAUCUGCCCUUUAGUGAAGAAUAACUCCGAGAAAUCGAAGCUAAUGCUGCAUACGUCCCUUCGGGGAGAAAGGUGGCCUCUUGCUGCCGCUAAAGGAUGAGUUCGCGGACUAUUAGCUAGUUGGUGAGGUAAUGGCUCACCAAGGCGAUGAUGGUUAGCCGGCCUGAGAGGGUGUACGGCCACAUUGGAACUGAGACACGGUCCAGACUCCUACGGGAGGCAGCAGUGGGGAAUAUUGCACAAUGGGCGAAAGCCUGAUGCAGCGACGCCGCGUGGAGGAAGAAGGCUUUCGGGUUGUAAACUCCUGUUAAGAGGGAAGAAAAGCGUACGUGGAAUAUACGUACGUGUUGACGGUACCUCUAGAGAAAGCUCCGGCUAAUUUCGUGCCAGCAGCCGCGGUAAUACGAGGGGAGCAAGCGUUAUUCGGAAUCACUGGGCGUAAAGGGCGCGUACGCGGCGCAUUAAGUCUGUUGUUAAAUUCCCUGGCCUAACCGGGGGUCAGCAAUCCAAACUGAUGUGCUUGAGUGCAGAGAGAGAAGUGGAAUUAUCUGAUUAGCGGCAAACUGCCUAUAUCUUCAUAGCCACACGGAUGGCGAAGGCAGCUUCUUGGCUCGUAACUGACGCUAAAGCGCGAAAGCGUGGGGAGCAAACAGGAUUAGAUACCCUGGUAGUCCACGCUGUAAACGAUGAUCACUGGAUGUGGGUUUUGCUUGCAAAAUCUGUGUCGAAGCUAACGCGUUAAGUGAUCCGCCUGGGAAUUACGGUCGCAAGAUUAAAACUCAAAGGAAUUGACGGGGGUCCGCACAAGCGGUGGAACAUGUGGUUUAAUUCGACACUACGCGAGGAACCUUACCUAGGUUUGACAUGUACCUGACAGCUAUAGAAAUAUAGUCUUUCGGGUUUACUCGAACAGGUACACAGGUGCUGCAUGGCUGUCGUCAGCUCGUGUCGUGAGAUGUUGGGUUAAGUCCUCUAACGAGCGCAACCCCUGCUGUCAGUUGCAACUUCUUCGGAAGGCACUCUGGCGGGACUGCCUGGGAAACCAGGAGGAAGGUGGGGAUGAUGUCAAGUCCUCAUGGCCCUUAUACCUAGGGCGACACACGUGUUACAAUGGCUAGUACAAAAGGAAGCAAGUCCGCGAGGAGGAGCAAAUCCCCUAAAGCUAGUCUAAGUUCGGAUUGGAGUCUGCAACUCGACUCCAUGAAGUUGAAAUCGCUAGUAAUCGCGUAUCAGAACGACGCGGUGAAUACGUUCUCGGACCUUG